rnacentral:rRNA from 1 species
UUUUUUGGAGAGUUUGAUCCUGGCUCAGGACGAACGCUGGCGGCGUGCUUAACACAUGCAAGUCGAACGAAAAUACCAAGCUUGCUUGGUUGAUUAGUGGCGAACGGGUGAGUAACACGUGAGUAACCUGCCCCUUACUUUCCUGGAUAACUGCUCGAAAGGGUAGCUAAUACGGGAUAUUCUGGCCUUCCUGCAUGGGUUGGUUUGGAAAGGUUUUUUCUGGUAAGGGAUGGGCUCGCGGCCUAUCAGCUUGUUGGUGGGGUGAUGGCCUACCAAGGCUUUGACGGGUAGCCGGCCUGAGAGGGUGGACGGUCACACUGGGACUGAGAUACGGCCCAGACUCCUACGGGAGGCAGCAGUGGGGAAUAUUGCACAAUGGGCGCAAGCCUGAUGCAGCGACGCCGCGUGAGGGAUGAAGGCCUUCGGGUUGUAAACCUCUUUCGUCAGGGAACAAGGCACUGCUUUUUUGGUGGUGUUGAGGGUACCUGGAUAAGAAGCGCCGGCUAACUACGUGCCAGCAGCCGCGGUAAUACGUAGGGCGCAAGCG